AGGUGUAGGAAAACUUAUUAAAGGGUGGGAUGUUGGAGUUGAGGGCAUGCGUGUUGGGGACAAGAGAAGGCUUACCAUUCCACCAGAGAUGGGUUAUGGACGUAAGGGAGCAGGUGGUGCAAUUCCUCCAAAUUCGUGGCUUGUGUUUGAUGUUGAGUUAAAUGAUGUUCGUUAAUUCUCGGACCUAUUAAUCAAACAAAUUUUUGGCAGCUCUGAUGGGGUACCCGGUUAAAGGGGGUCCCUAAGGGUAUAUGUGUAUUUUUGUAUCAUUCAAUCAACAAAUUCAAAUCCAACCAUUCACUCUAAAAACUAACAUAUCCUAUGGCUGAUAAUCAAUGUUGGACUAAGUCCUGAAAAUGGCAACUGAGGGACUAAAAAAGUCCCCAUAUAAUAUAUAAUAAAAUAAUAAUUGUUUCAACAAAAAAAUAAGUACAUGUCUCGUGAAAAAAAGGAAAAAAAAAAGAUAAGUAAAAGAAUGCAUGUCAAAUAAAUAAAUUUACUGUGUCUAUUAAGUACUUGAUUCAUUUAAACAAAUUGGUAUUAGUUAUGUCAAAUAGAAUGCAUAUGUAUUUUUGUCAAUGCAUAUAUAUUAUAUAACAUAUAAUAAAAUAAUAAUGGGUUCCUAACUCAUAUUUAAUUUUAAUAAACUCCUAAAUACGCCUUGCAUUUCUCAGCCAAAAAAGAAGAAAAAGAAAUCUUUACUCAAUCACUACUGCUAUUCAAGACCGUGUUUCUUGUGGUAUAUGCGUAUUAGGAACAGGCACAGCCAGCCCAUAUUAUAGUCAGUGAUUGGCUGCACAACAAGGUCCUAUUGAAAUCACGGCAAGAAUCUACGUUAACACUUCUCCUUCUCACACACAGCUGGGG